GCCUUCCUCUAAACCCUAGUCUUCUCUUUUUCUCCUCCCUCCAAUGGCCAACCUCACCCCUACCACCAAUGCCAUUGUUCCUGUGGCUCCUAUUGCCCAGCCGCCCAUGUCUGCUGCCCAUCAUUUCAUUUCUCUCAAAUUGACCUCCAAGAACUUCAUCUUCUGGAAGACUCAGAUUGUUCCCUUCCUCAGGGGUCAGAAGCUUCUUUCUUUUCUUGAUCGUACUCACCCUUGUCCAACCGAUCCUACUGAGGUCGUUACCUGACAGGACCAGGAUGCUAUCAUUAUGAGUCUCAUCAUCGCAUCUCUCUCUGAAGAAGCGUUUCCCCUUAUUGUUGGGAAAGACACCAGUAAAGCAAUCUGGGAUGCCCUACAUGCCUCCUAUGGCUCAUCUUCCACCACGAAGACUUCUCUCUCUCAACAUGGGUCUCCAAAAGCUGGUUCACUCUACUGGUGAAUCCGUCACAUCUUUUCUCCAAUGUGCCAAGGCCCUUGCCGAUGAACUCACUGCUGCCGGGAAGCUGCUUGCUCCAGAGGACUUUAAUCUUUAUAUUUUUUAUGCCCUGAGGUAGGAUUUGCAGGAUAUUGUGCCUACCCUUAUGGCUCGCCCUGAUCCAAUACCGUUCCAUGAGCUUCAAAGUUUACUGAUCAGUUAUGAAUAUCUCCACUCCAAUACCGCCAGCAAGUCUGAUGCCACUGAUCCCGCCCCCACACCAGAAGCCAAUCUUACCUACUCUGACUCUCCCUCUCCCACAGGAACUACCAACUCUGGUCAUAGCACAGUGAGGGCUCGCGGUGGGCGUGGUGGUGGUAGCGGAGGCUGUGACAACCUUUACUACAACAUCUGUCAACUUCUAAUCACAUUGCCGCCAAUUGCUUUUACAGACCAUACCCCAAUACCCAAACCUAUCAAACCAACCCAACAAACCAGUGCCCCUCACAUGCCCUAUACAAUCCCCCCCCCACUACACCAUUCCCUACAACCAUUCCAACCCUCCACUUCUCCCUACACCACCACCCUCUACUGCAUUAAUCUGGUACCCAGACAUUGGUGCCUCUCACCAUUUCACCCCUGACAUCCAUUCCCUAUCCACCCAUGAUGGCAACACUGGUCAAGAACAACUCUAUGUCGGUAAUGGUGACCAAGUCAGUUCUUCUUUCUAGACCGAGUAACGGGGGACUCUACACUCUUUCCUCCCUGGUUCCUUCCUCAACAGUUGCUAAUGUUGCUGUUCGCACCUCUCUAGACACCUGGCAUCAUCAUCUCGGCCAUCCCUAUCAACGCCUUCUUCAGUUCAUGGUUCACUCCAAUGGACUUCCAUGUCAAUCCUCUUGUCUCCGUUUGUUGUGCACUCCUGUUAGUUGGGCAAGUAUUGUCAUCUUUCUUUAGGUCCCUCCCCCUCUCGUAGUAUGUACGCCUUAGAACUUGUCUAUAGUGAUGUAUGGGGUCCCUCUCAUGCAGUCUCAUCUGAGGGCCAUCGUUAUUUUGUAUUCUUUCUUGAUGAUUGUAGUAAAUCUCUCUAGUUUUAUCCAAUGGUUAAUAAAUUUGAGGUUUUUAAAAUUUUUCCUCAA